ensembl:misc_RNA Metazoa_SRP Metazoan signal recognition particle RNA
GCCGGGUGUGAUGAUGCAUGCCUGUAAUCCCAGCUAUUUGGGAGGCUGAGGCAGAUGAAUUGCUUGAACCCAGGAGGUGGAGUUUGCAGUGAGCCGAGAUCACGCCACUGCACUCCACCCUGGGUGACAGAGCAAGACUCCGUCUCAA